GGGGGCGACUGGUUUCGACAUGGUAGGUCUGAAGUGAGGAGCAGGUCGUGGUCUCCUCGCCACGUUAAACAGGGGUACCGUCAAGUUAAUUGGCAAGAACAACACUCAGAGCGCUCCUGCGCUCGCCAUGGCUGCUUAAUCGCGCCUGGCUGUCGUCCCGGGAUCUUCCCCGCUUCCGGGUUCGGCAUCAACCUAGGGGAAUGCGCUGCGGCACGUAGCCGGUAUGGCCGCGGCAAAGAUCGAACCGGCUAGGAAAGGCAACGUCUGUCGAUGGACCGAACCUCUCCGAAUUCCGACCAGCGACUAAGCCUGUAGCGCCUUGCGGACGAUCUAGUAUGGACCGGAGUUCGAUUCUCCGCGCCUCCACCA
rnacentral:tmRNA from 2 species